rnacentral:lncRNA from 13 species
AGGGCCAAUAGGCAAGUCUAGGUCAAAAGGUAAGGCCAGGCCAAAAGGCAAGCCAAAAAACAAGGCCAUGCCAGGCCAGACCAAAAGGCCAGGCCAAAAUGGGAGGACAGACCAAAAGGCCAGGGGAAAAUGCCAGGCUAGGACACAAGGCCAGGCCAAAAGCAAGGCCAGGCCAGACAGGGCCUAAAGGUAAGGCCUGGCCAAAAGGUAAUGCCAGGCCAGACCAAAAGGCCAGGCCAAAAGGCCAGCCCAGGCCAGGCCAGAAAGCAAGACUGGGGCAGGGGGCUGGGUCUCAGGGGCUCUGCGGCUGUUUGCAGGGCUAUCCCAAGCUGGCAUGGACAGCAGCCCAGAGCUCAGGGGCACCUCAGGGCUGAGGGACUUAGGCUGGCCCUCAGGUCCCAGGCUCAGGGCAGGCUCAGGCUCAGGUGUGUGCCUGAGAGCAGUCAGGGUCGUGGGGAGGAAGGUGCCCCACACUGCCACACCCCGCAGGGGAGCUGGGAGUCCCCAGCUGCAGGUGGCUGUCUCUGCCUUCCAUCUCUGGCAGAAGGGCUAUGGGAAGAGGAAUGGGAGGAGCCACCUCCUCAGUGGGCCUCAGCUCACUGUCCCCAGGCCCCAGGCCACCCUCCAGAGCUGGCUUCCAGGCCACAGUCACUACUGUCUACAGCUCCACCACAUCAGGACCUGGGGAAAAGUGGGCGCUGCUCACAGGGGACAAACGGGGCAGCGUGGGGCUGGGUCUUGGGGGCAGGUAGGGUCUCUGCAGCCCCCGGGUUCCUCAUCAUCCUUGGAAACCUCAUUGGUCCUGUCCCACCAUGGAGGGGGCAGCUGGCACUGGCUGUCCUUGCCAACCAAGUCAUUUUGGCUCCUAGGGGAGGGAGGCAUCUGCAUGCCAUCAGGGGAAACCCUGGGCCAGGGAAGGCUGGGGAGCUCAAGGUCUGGGGCCCCUAUACGGGCAUCUUCCUCCAGAAGGAAAUUGACCAGAGUUCCCAGGGGUCAGCUCUGAGGGU